GACGAACGCUGGCGGCGUGCUUAACACAUGCAGGUCGAACGGAAAGGCCCUGCUUUUGUGGGGUGCUCGAGUGGCGAACGGGUGAGUAACACGUGAGUAACCUGCCCUUGACUUUGGGACAACUUCAGGAAACUGGGGCUAAUACCGGAUAGGAGCUCCUGCUGCAUGGUGGGGGUUGGAAAGUUUCGGCGGUUGGGGAUGGACUCGCGGCUUAUCAGCUUGUUGGUGGGGUAGUGGCUUACCAAGGCUUUGACGGGUAGCCGGCCUGAGAGGGUGACCGGCCACAUUGGGACUGAGAUACGGCCCAGACUCCUACGGGAGGCAGCAGUGGGGAAUAUUGCACAAUGGGCGGAAGCCUGAUGCAGCAACGCCGCGUGCGGGAUGACGGCCUUCGGGUUGUAAACCGCUUUCGCCUGUGACGAAGCGUGAGUGACGGUAAUGGGUAAAGAAGCACCGGCUAACUACGUG
rnacentral:rRNA from 1 species